UGGGGAAUUUUGGACAAUGGACGAAAGUCUGAUCCAGCCAUGCCGCGUGCGGGAAGAAGGCCUUCGGGUUGUAAACCGCUUUUGUCAGGGAAGAAACGGCGCGCUCUAAUACAGUGUGCUAAUGACGGUACCUGAAGAAUAAGCACCGGCUAACUACGUGCCAGCAGCCGCGGUAAUACGUAGGGUGCAAGCGUUAAUCGGAAUUACUGGGCGUAAAGCGUGCGCAGGCGGUUAUGCAAGACAGAUGUGAAAUCCCCGGGCUCAACCUGGGAACUGCAUUUGUGACUGCAUGGCUAGAGUACGGUAGAGGGGGAUGGAAUUCCGCGUGUAGCAGUGAAAUGCGUAGAUAUGCGGAGGAACACCGAUGGCGAAGGCAAUCCCCUGGACCUGUACUGACGCUCAUGCACGAAAGCGUGGGGAGCAAACAGG
rnacentral:rRNA from 1 species